GAGAGAGCAGGGCAUAUGCUGAGAGAAGACUAGAGCUGAUGUUGACAUGUCACAGCAAUUAGGCAGAACCGAAGAUGUCAAUCAAGAAGUGGUAGUCUGGGACUGCAGAAGAUGCAGGUUCAGUGUCCAGCAUCCAUAUGAUGGCUCACGACCAACCAUAACUCCAGGUCCAGGGUACUGGAUGAUUUCUUCUGACCUCUGUGGGCACCAGCCAUGCAUGUAGGAAAUGCCCUCACAUACAUUAAAAAAAAGGGCUUUCAAAAGGAAGUGUGUCAGUCUGUGUUACUUAAAGAGCAAGAAGCCAGGAGGUUGCUACAGCCUGUGUAGAGUGUGGGAAGAGUGGGGAAUGGGUGUGUUAUGACGUCCUCCUAGCCGCAAGAAGGGCCCAGAGCCACUGAAAGCUCAGGGCUCACCAGCAGAGACAGCUACCAGGCAAGUUCCCAAAUAGCUUUCAUUCGACACUUUUAAAACAGUAAGCUGCUCUUGGACAGUUUAGGGAAUGUUUCCACGGACAUAUUUCAUUUCGUCUUCGUAGCAACGCUCUGAAGCAUGGGUUUUUCUUUCCCUUCUUUGCAGAUAGACACACACACCACCAUGACUACAGGUCAGACAAGUCACAGGGGCAUGACGGAUCCCCAGGUAUUGGAUCUCUGGGCUCCAUACAGAUAGCAUGUGAUAUUUAAAGGUACUGAGGAUGAAAACUGAAAAUUAAGUAUGCUCCAGGGGUUAAUUUUUCUGGGACGGUGAGACGAGUCCCCCAUUUCUACCAGUGCCCAUAAACAACAGUGCACCUCUGAGAUGAAUUCACAGUCAUGCCCUGGCUUUCCUUCUCCAAUCCGCCCACGCAGCCCUCACAGGCCCCCACACCCCACGCUCAGUCACACCUCAAUGCUUCUGCACCUGCUGUCCUUCUGCCUGGAAAAGCCUCUCUGUGCCUGUCCCCUGGCUAGCUCCUCCAUUUUCAGAUCUCACUAGCCACCUUCCUGCAGGCUGAGCCGACUGCCCUACUUUACGGUUUGAUCCCUGCCCCAGGGCCACCAUCAAUUCUGGAACAAUGGCAUCACUGUUCUUAUCCCUGUCUCUCUCGCCAGACCGAGGGCUCCUUGUGGGCAGGCACUGAGCCUUGCCUCUUUCUCUAUCUCCCUGUAAAUGGGAGCUGCACAGUGCUGGAUGGGGAAGUCACCUGUAAAUGCAGGAGGGGGUGCUGCUCCUGUCUCUCAGUGGGAAGCAGCCAAAAGCAUCUGCCAGCUGUCUUCCAGCCAUGCCUCACCCAGGCUUCGAGGUUCUUUAACCGAGAUGACAAGAUGUGACAGAAGCACUGAGAGACAGAUAAUUAGCAAAAGCUUCCUUUCCAGAGGCUUGCCUCCCUGUUCACCUUUUAACGUGUAGUAUUUUAAUAUAUGCAGAACUGCUUUCCCUGGCUCCAGUAGUCCUCCAGAGCUGGGCGAUUGCAGGGACCCUGGUUCCCCUCCUUUUUUUUCUCCCAGGGUACACCGGCAGUCCCUGUACUUGGAUCUUGAGCCACGGUGAGCCCCAUUGAGGUGCCUGUCAGAUUGCCAGCCUCUCUCACCUGCAGCGAGCGCCAUCUCACUACAUCUGAAAGCCACAGCUCCUCUCUGUCCAGGGCUCUGCACAGCUGGCUCCUUCACCUCGGACCCUCUCUGCAGCCGUGUGGCCAUGGCCGUCCUAGGUGACCCUUGUGAAAGGGUUAUUCAACCAGCUAAGAGGUUGGGACCCACAAGUUGAGAACCGAUGCUCUAAGCCUUCGUGAUAGAACUUUCAAGUUCAAGAAAACCUGUCAGCUUCAUGAUAUCCUAAACUCUGCAAGGCUACCCUCAACUUGAAGAUCAUUAUAGUCAAGUUAGAGAACAGACACGCACUCGGAAGACUGCAUCUCAGUAACAACCACAGGUGGACCAGGGGUGUGGAUGUGAGCGCUCGAGCUUAUGGAAUCUUCAUGCCUUCGUCUGUAAAAUGGAUUGAUAACAUCUUCUUCUCUGGGUGGCAUCUUGCAUUGAUUACAUGAGAUUAUGUAUGGAAAGGACCUGGCUUAUAGCCUGGGAAUGGUGUGUGCUUAAUACACGAUAAUUACACUAAUAGUUGACGUGCAUUGUCUACUCUGUCUGUGUCGGGCAUUGAGAAGUGCCUUCUGUAUUAACUUGUUCCUGGUAAAUGGUUAUCACGUUCAUUCAA